rnacentral:rRNA from 1 species
CGUGCUUAACACAUGCAAGUCGAACGGGUGUUAUUUCGGUAAACACCAAGUGGCGAACGGGUGAGUAACGCGUAAGCAAUCUACCUUCAAGAUGGGGACAACACUUCGAAAGGGGUGCUAAUACCGAAUGAAUGUAAGAGUAUCGCAUGAGACACUUACUAAAGGAGGCCUCUGACAUAAGCUUCCGCUUGAAGAUGAGCUUGCGUCUGAUUAGCUAGUUGGUGAGGGUAAAGGCCCACCAAGGCGACGAUCAGUAGCCGGUCUGAGAGGAUGAACGGCCACAUUGGGACUGAGACACGGCCCAGACUCCUACGGGAGGCAGCAGUGGGAAUCUUCCGCAAUGGGCGAAAGCCUGACGGAGCAACGCCGCGUGAACGAUGAAGGUCUUAGGAUCGUAAAGUUCUGUUGUUAGGGACGAAGGGUAAGAAUCAUAAUAAGGUUUUUAUUUGACGGUACCUAACGAGGAAGCCACGGCUAACUACGUG